UGAUGCAGUUUCAGUACGUGUAUGCAGUUUCAGUCUAUUGUUGCACUAGACACUUCCCUGUUAGUCCAUUUUAUUUUAUUAUGCACAAAGUGGAAGAAGAAAAUUCUGGUGUUGAACUACAUCCAUCCUGAUCCUUUCUUUGUUUUCUCUAAACCACAAAUGCCACAUGAAGAACUAAGGAUAUCAAGAAGCUUUUGGAUGUAUGCAAGCUUGGAGCUGCUGUUUUGUAGAAAUGGCAUUUGAAGAAUAACCAAGGAUAUCAAGAAGCUUUUGGAUGUAGGCAAGCUUGGAGCUGCUGUUUCAAUGUCAUGCUUUGAUGGUUGUCUUUUGAGCUGUUGUUUCUAUGUGUAAUCCUUUAAGUCUGUUGGCUGUACCGGACUAUUUAAACUCUGAACUAUGCUGUGAUGCUUGAACUGUUGUUGGACUGUUAAGGGUUAUGAUGGAGGCCACUUUAUAACUAAUGUGUGCCUGUUAAGUUGGACAGAUGCAGUUUUAUUAAUCCCUAGAGCUUAUUUGCUGAAGUUUAUAUGAUCAA